CUUCAGUCAGCUGUGCACGUAUAUACACCAUAUAUGAGGCAAAGAAUAGAGAGUCAUCUAAAAACAGUAAGACAAGAAGAGGUGCUUUGUUUCCUUGUUUGGGGUUCUUUUCAGUACUGACAU